ACAGUGAGUGGUUUAACUGCAGUACCGCUGAAAUUAGACUGGAAAGUCCUGUAAAUGAAACAAACGGGGUCAGAUGUUGCUGAAAUGUUAAAAGUAACGUAACUGUAUUUCUUUGUAGUGAAAUGAAAACUUUACAAAACUUUACACUUAAAGUUGGGGUAGUCACCUCUGACAUAGAAUUAAUAGUUUUGAAAAAAAUUAACUUUACUUCCUUCAACAGUGUCUGCAAACAUCAGAAAACACAGUCCAAUUUAACUCACACAUCUGGGCUUUGCAGAAACUCCCACAGUGGGAGACUCUUGUGUAGGUUUGUAAACAUAUGUGCAUUUGUUGUUUGAGUUUUUUACUGCACGUGUGAUUGUUUAUCUAUUUAUGUGUUGUAUUCAUUUAUAUUGAAGUAGCUUCUGUGAACACCUGCUGCAGAUGGCAGUCCCGCACACCUGCUCAGGUGUUGUUCCAUAUAAUGUGGCUAAUGAGACCUCCGCACAGGUUCAAGUUUUGCAGCACCAUGUUUGAAAUAAUGCACUAAUUAGAAUAAAGUGGUUAUUAGCAGUCUGUGCGAGCCCACAAACACCCGCAGGAAGACAAGCAGCAUCUACGCCUGGAUCUAACAGAACUAAUCAAUGUUUUUAUAUCAACCGUAUGCAUUAAUUUAUCAUUUCAAACACACGUUUCUUUGUUUAAGACUCCAGACUUUCAGUUAAUGAAUAAACGAUUGCUUAUGUUAAUAAACCUCGGCUCUGCAGAGUGGAUUUCUCUGUUUUGAUUACUGUUGUGGUCCACAAUUCUGCUCCAAUAAACCCCAUUUCCUGCAGUUGUUCAGAAAAGUUAAUACCUAACUCAUGAAAGAAGAAUUUAGCAGCUAAAGAAACAGAUUGUCUUCGAGGGCUUGAUGGAGGCUGAAGUAAAUGCAGACUGAGUAUUGUAAUUGCAUUCGUCAGACAGAAACGCGACUCCAAAUGAAUUUGAAUGUUUCUCUGUCUGCUCAAAGUGAAAAACAGACAAACUUUGGCCAAAACUUUCAAAACCAGAAAGAGUUUUGAGUUUUACUGAAUCAAUGCUGAGUUUAAACACUGUGUUUAUUUACAGGAGAUUAAGACAUGUCUGUGUUGAAUUAUCUGUUAAAGUGUUGAUUUAAUUCUCUCAGGUUUGGACUUGGCUGCUUUUUUAUGCUGCGUUCGAGUCAGAUGUUCAAGCUGGGAAUGAUGACACACCCGAGUUCGGAAACAAGAUGGUUACAUCUUAGAAAGUUAUUUUAGCGCUUGUUAUUUAAGUUAUUUUAAGUUAUUCUAGCAUCCCCUUUUGUAGAUGUAGCCAUCUUGUUUCCGCCUCCGAUUUCGCUUUUUUCCGACUAGGUAACUGAAACGCUGGGAACUUCCGAGGAAACUCGAAUGCAGCAUUACACCCUGCUGUGUAUUAUAUCAUUUCAAAGAUUCAUGUACUUCCUGUGUUAAAUAUUAGACUUAUAGCUUCCUUUCAGAAUAAAAGCUGAUGUGAUCUUGACGCCACAUCAUGGCUGUUAAACUUUUCACUCUACAGCAGCAGAAAAUGUUACCAGCAACAAUGUUCACCUCUGUGACCUCCGCUACAUCUCAGGCACAAAUAUUUGAAGUUAAAAUGAGUAGAAAUGGGGAUAUUGAGUGAUAUAAAUAUAUCAGUGAGAGUCUCGAUGGAAACGCCCCCUUGUUCAUCCCUCCAGUUGGUGAAGUGACGGUGGCCUCCGAGGACAAGAAGCUUGAGCGAAACAAAAGUAUGAUCUACUGUUUGUCAAGUUUUAUUAUCGAUCAUUAAAAAUGCUUUUGCACCCAUCAACAACAACAACUCCUCCUCUUCAUCACCUACAGGUACAUUAUUGUGUCUCUGACAUGCUGUGGUACAAAUCCAAGAUGGUGGCCUACAUAGAAGGGGACCCACUUGAGUAGGGUGACAAUACAUCCUCUUUUACCCGGACAUGUCCUCGUUUUUGGGGGCUGUCCGGGUUUGUCUGGGGAAGUUUAUAAAAUCCUUCAAAUGUCUGUGGUUUUGUACAGAAAUUUCGAGUUUGUUUCAUGAUAACUUAGUGAGUUCGAAGCGCGUAAAAGACACUCGAGUCGACCCGAAAAACUCUCAAAAUUAACUUUGUGCGACUUCGUGACUCCGCCCCAGUGUAGAGGUGUCCUCUUUUGGGAAGUCCGAAUAUGGUCACCCUAACACUUCUAACAAGUCUGUUUUGUUAAACAUCUCUAGAUUCUACAGACUGCACCUUUAACUGUCCCAUAUUAUAGAGGCACCACUUCUUUUGACAACAGAUAACUUACAUGACCCUUAAGUGUCACUUUGACUCUAAGCUGCACAGUUACAUUAAAAAAAUGAUACGCUGUUUCUUUGUUUUUUUAUUGAUAUUUCUAAUCAGAGUCAUCCGGCAGUUUUAGAGACUUUCUUUUAUUGUUUAUUAUCAUUUAAAGAAGUCAAAAGACAAAGACGUCUUGCCGAGCCUGGACCAAAACAUUGGCCUGAAAUGUUCAAUCAAAUAAAGCAUCAAACACGUCCAAGCUAGAGUUGAUAGAGUUAAACAGAGAGGUGGAUUAUCUGAGUUUAUAGACACAUGAUCUCAUUAUAGCUACAAAUGUAACUCACCAUACUGUUUACUGGCUUUUGCACGUCUGAUUCAACAGAAACAGAAGCGGUGUACUCAAGUGCAAACAAAAGAGCAAAGACUCAGAUAGACUGCACUUGACCAAAGCUUUAAAAUCGGAUGUCCAUCAGCAGAAAAAAAAACAUCAGAUUCCCUGGAAAGCCACAAAGAAAACACAGGAGGAACACGAGGAGACGAGAGACGAACUGAUACAGAAAGAAAACAGAAAAACCAAAUACACACAAGGUGAUCAAACACAGGAGUUAGAGUAGACCAACAUACGCUACAAGAUAAUGGUUCCAUUUUAAGGUCUGAUUCCCUCUUUAGACAAAAGUCAGUAAAAGCCCGAUUACAAGAUGGUUGUAAAGACGCUCCUCUCAGAUUGGCCUGUGGUGUGUUCGUGUGUUUAGAGCGAUUUUUCUUCCCUCAGAUCUGAGCAGAAGACGAUCAGAGCCUCCCUGACUAGAAAUUAUAAAUAUUAAACAUGUUCAAUAUUUACCAUGAGAAGUCCUCGUGUGCGGGCGAACCCUGAAGACAGGCGAGCAGCUUACCAUUAAAAGUGCAUGAGACUUUAAAAAUCUUCUUAAGGUGAAAUACACCGAAAAAAACACCUGAAAUGUGUGUUUCUAGAAAAUGAUUUUCAAUCAGCGAGCUCAUGAAGGUUUCCAGGGAAGGUAAAUGCAUUUCAAGCAUCAGUAAUUCUCAUCAUGAUUCUUGGAUUACAGGAAAGCCAAAAAAAUCGUGAUUGUGAUUAAAGUGCAGUCUAUUGUGCAGCCCUGUACGUCGGCGUGUGGGUUUAGUGUGGACCCCCUCAGGGUGAAGAGUGAAGCAUCUUAGCGCUCACCUUGAAAGCAGCUGACGCCUCCCAAUGGAGCUCCCGACAGGUAAGUCAAUCACCUCUGUCUGCUGUCACACAAACCGGGGCGUCAUCUGCAUAAAACCGAAAGAAAAAGGCUGCAGACAUGAAUAAAGAAAAGCUGCAGCUGAUGUAUUAUGGAGGAAUAUAAAU